rnacentral:piRNA from 1 species
AUUAGAGGCAAUGCCUGCCCAGUGA